rnacentral:rRNA from 1 species
CGUGUAGGCGGUAUGGUAAGUCAGAUGUGAAAGCCCUGGGCUUAACCCAGGAAGUGCAUUUGAUACUGCCAUUCUUGAGUAUGGGAGAGGAGAGUAGAAUUCCCAGUGUAGAGGUGAAAUUCGUAGAUAUUGGGAGGAAUACCCGUGGCGAAGGCGACUCUCUGGACCAAUACUGACGCUGAGACGCGAAAGCGUGGGGAGCUAACA